UUUAUACAUUAGGGGUGCUAAGUAGAGUUGACCCCAAAUUCGCUGUGAUAACGUAAGUUGACGCCGCAUUAUAGCAACCAUCACAAUAGAGUUUGGAAAGAAAUCUAGCAUUUGGCUGAGAGGAUUAACCAACCCUUGAACCUGAACUCAUUAAUCUGAGCGGAGGAAAAUGUGACCAUAGCUAU
rnacentral:ncRNA from 1 species